GAUGAACGCUGGCGGCGUGCCUAAUACAUGCAAGUCGAGCGAAGCGGGGAAGGGUGAGUAACACGUGGAUAACCUCCUAUAAGACUGGGAUAACUUCGGGAAAACGGAGCUAAACCGGAUACGUAUAGAGGGAUCCGCGCUGCAUUAGCUAGUGGGUAAGGUAACGGCCUACCAGGGCAACGAGGCCUAGCCGACCUGAGCGGGUGAUCGGCGACACGGGAACUGAGCCACUGUCCAGACUCCUACGGGAGGCAGCAGUAGGGAAUCUUCCGCAAUGGGCGAAAGCCUGACGGAGCAACGCCGCGUGAGUGAUGAUGGUCUUCGGAUCGUAAAACUCUGUUCUUAGGGAAGCGGUACCUAAUCAGAAAGCCACGGCUAACUCCGUGCCAGCAGCCGCGGUAAUAC
rnacentral:rRNA from 1 species